GGGGAAUAUUGCACAAUGGGCGCAAGCCUGAUGCAGCGACGCCGCGUGCGGGAUGACGGCCUUCGGGUUGUAAACCGCUUUUGACUGGGAGCAAGCCCUUCGGGGUGAGUGUACCUAUCGAAUAAGCACCGGCUAACUACGUGCCAGCAGCCGCGGUAAUACGUAGGGUGCAAGCGUUAUCCGGAAUUAUUGGGCGUAAAGGGCUCGUAGGCGGUUCGUCGCGUCCGGUGUGAAAGUCCAUCGCUUAACGGUGGAUCCGCGCCGGGUACGGGCGGGCUUGAGUGCGGUAGGGGAGACUGGAAUUCCCGGUGUAACGGUGGAAUGUGUAGAUAUCGGGAAGAACACCAAUGGCGAAGGCAGGUCUCUGGGCCGUCACUGACGCUGAGGAGCGAAAGCGUGGGGAGCGAAC
rnacentral:rRNA from 1 species